rnacentral:rRNA from 1 species
CUGUACCUUUUGUAUGAUGGUCUAGCAAGAAAAAAAAAGGUAGUUUUGUUCCCCGAAGUUGGUCGAGCUAGUGUAUUCUAUUUUUAGAUUAAAGCUUUUACUGUUGCAGUAGUAAGGUGUGAGAAUACAUUAGGUGUGAAAUGCUUAUCGUGUCCAAUUAUAGCUGGUUCUUCAAGAAAUUAAUUUAAGUUAAGUUAAAAGGUUUUAUUUGAUUUGUAUUCUUUUUUGGGAAAUCAAAGAGAGAAAAAUAAGGCUUUUAUGGUUAGACUAAUAGGGAUAAGCUUAUUAGUCAAGAAGAAAAAACUUUAUUUAUUAAUUAAAAACAAGAUACAAUGAAUGCGUUAUUAGGAUAAAAAAAGUAGGAUUAGUAGCAUCUAUCUUUAUGAAAAGCGUUAAAGCUUUUUUUAUGUAGUUUAGUGCAGAGGAUUUUGUAGAGAAGUUUUGAAGUUGUAAUUUUUUAUUGAAGAAUUUUAUUGGUUAAAAGAUAAAAUGCUAGAAUUAGUAAGAGAACAAAGAUUUUUUGAGGUUUAAUCAUUUCUAACUUUGAAGGAAAAAAUUUCUAUGAUAAUCGAGAAAAAGAAUUUUAAUGAUGUCUUCCAACUCAGGAAAUCAAAAUAAGUUGUAAAUUAGAAAAAAGGAAUUCGGCAAAAGUAAAUCUCGCCUGUUUACCAAAAACAUCGCCCUUUGAAAAGUUAAGCUGAAGAAUAAGGGGUCCUGCCUGCCCAGUGACGUAGAGUUAAACGGCCGCGGUAUCUUGACCGUGCAAAGGUAGCAUAAUCAUUUGCCUUUUAAAUGGAGGCUGGAAUGAAUGGCAAGACGGGGGUUUAACUGUCUCUUUUCUAAUCUCUCUUAAAUUAAUAUCCUUGUGAAGAAGCAGGGGUAGAAUCGUGGGACGAGAAGACCCUAUUGAGCUUUAAUGGUUUAAAUAACUACAGGGUUUUUAUAAUAAACUAAUUUUGUUAUAGAAACAAUUUAAAACUUUAUUUUUUUAUAAAUUAGUAGUUUGUUUAAAAUUGUUUUUGGUGGGGCAACCGCGAAGA